rnacentral:lncRNA from 1 species
CUUGGCAAUCCACUGGAGCUCAUUUCAACCAAUACUAGGCUACCACAUGGGGAGCAUCAAAUAGAGACUAGACAAACCAUCACUUGAUCGAAACCAUCCGAGCUCCUAUAAAUAGCCAUUCUGCCCCCUUUACUUUUCACUUUUUACUGAGGGGAAGUUCUGCUCUAGCGAUUUCCAACAAGCCACUUGUGACCAUCGGCC